rnacentral:rRNA from 1 species
UACAGAGGUCUCAAGCGUUGUUCGGAUUCAUUGGGCGUAAAGGGUGCGUAGGUGGCGCGGUAAGUCGGGUGUGAAAUCUCGGAGCUUAACUCCGAAAUUACAUUCGAUACUGCCGUGCUUGAGGACUGGAGAGGAGACUGGAAUUCAUGGUGUAGCAGUGAAAUGCGUAGAGAUCAUGAGGAAGACCAGUGGCGAAGGCGGGUCUCUGGACAGUUCCUGACACUGAGGCACGAAGGCCAGGGGAGCAAACGGG